AUGGGCUUCGGCCUGAUGGCGAGUGGCGAACGGGUGAGUAAUACAUCGGAACGUGCCCCGUAGUGGGGGAUAACCAGUCGAAAGAUUGGCUAAUACCGCAUAUGCUCUACGGAGGAAAGCGGGGGAUCGCAAGACCUCGCGCUAUGGGAGCGGCCGAUGUCCGAUUAGCUUGUUGGUGAGGUAAAGGCUCACCAAGGCGACGAUCGGUAGCUGGUCUGAGAGGAUGAUCAGCCACACUGGGACUGAGACACGGCCCAGACUCCUACGGGAGGCAGCAGUGGGGAAUUUUGGACAAUGGGGGGAACCCUGAUCCAGCCAUGCCGCGUGAGUGAAGAAGGCCUUCGGGUUGUAAAGCUCUUUUGUACGGAAAGAAAAGGUCGAGGCUAAUACCCUUGAUCCUUGACGGUACCGUAAGAAUAAGCACCGGCUAACUACGUGCCAGCAGCCGCGGUAAUACGUAGGGUGCGAGCGUUAAUCGGAAUUACUGGGCGUAAAGCGUGCGUAGGCGGUUCGUUGUGUCUGCCGUGAAAGCCCCGGGCUUAACCUGGGAA
rnacentral:rRNA from 1 species